rnacentral:rRNA from 1 species
UAAAGAAUAUUGGACAAUGAACGUAAACCUGAUCCAGCCAUGCCGCGUGUGUGAAGAAGGCCCUCGGGUUGUAAAGCACUUUCAGUGGGGAAGAACGCCUGGUGGUUAAUACCCGUCAGGAAGGACAUCACCCACAGAAGAAGCACCGGCUAACUCCGUGCCAGCAGCCGCGGUAAUACGGAGGGUGCGAGCGUUAAUCGGAAUUACUGGGCGUAAAGCGCGCGUAGGUGGCUUGAUAAGCCGGUUGUGAAAGCCCCGGCUGCAACCUGGGAACGGCAUCCGGAACUGUCAGGCUAGAGUGCAGGAGAGGAAGGUAGAAUUCCCGGUGUAGCGGUGAAAUUGCGUAGAGAUCGGGAGGAAUACCAGUGGCGAAGGCGGCCUUCUGGACUGACACUGACACUGAGGUGCGAAAAGCGUGGGUAGCAAAACA